rnacentral:rRNA from 1 species
UGGGGAAUAUUGGACAAUGGGGGCAACCCUGAUCCAGCGAUGCCGCGUGAGUGAAGAAGGCCUUCGGGUUGUAAAGCUCUUUCACCUGAGACGAUAAUGACGGUAUCAGGAGAAGAAGCACCGGCUAACUCUGUGCCAGCAGCCGCGGUAAGACAGAGGGUGCUAGCGUUGUUCGGAAUGACUGGGCGUAAAGGGCGCGUAGGCGGUUAUCUAAGUCAGGCGUGAAAGCCCCGGGCUCAACCUGGGAACUGCGUUUGAUACUGGAUGGCUAGAGUGCGGAAGAGGAAAGUGGAAUUCCUAGUGUAGAGGUGAAAUUCGUAGAUAUUAGGAGGAACACCAGAGGCGAAGGCGGCUUUCUGGUCCGCAACUGACGCUGAGGCGCGAAAGCGUGGGGAGCAAA